AGAGUUUGAUCCUGGCUCAGGACGAACGCUGGCGGCGUGCUUAACACAUGCAAGUCGAACGGAAAGGCCCAGCUUGCUGGGUGCUCGAGUGGCGAACGGGUGAGUAACACGUGGGUGAUCUGCCCCUGACUUCGGGAUAAGCUUGGGAAACUGGGUCUAAUACCGGAUAGGACAAUCGUUUAGUGUCGGUUGUGGAAAGUUUUUUCGGUUAGGGAUGAGCCCGCGGCCUAUCAGCUUGUUGGUGGGGUAAUGGCCUACCAAGGCGUCGACGGGUAGCCGGCCUGAGAGGGUGGACGGCCACAUUGGGACUGAGAUACGGCCCAGACUCCUACGGGAGGCAGCAGUGGGGAAUAUUGCACAAUGGGCGCAAGCCUGAUGCAGCGACGCCGCGUGGGGGAUGACGGCCUUCGGGUUGUAAACCUCUUUCGACAGGGACGAAGCUUUUGUGACGGUACCUGUAUAAGAAGCACCGGCUAACUACGUGCCAGCAGCCGCGGUAAUACGUAGGGUGCGAGCGUUGUCCGGAAUUACUGGGCGUAAAGAGCUCGUAGGUGGUUUGUCGCGUCGUCUGUGAAAUUCCGGGGCUUAACUUCGGGCGUGCAGGCGAUACGGGCAUAACUUGAGUGCUGUAGGGGAGACUGGAAUUCCUGGUGUAGCGGUGGAAUGCGCAGAUAUCAGGAGGAACACCGAUGGCGAAGGCAGGUCUCUGGGCAGUAACUGACGCUGAGGAGCGAAAGCAUGGGGAGCGAACAGGAUUAGAUACCCUGGUAGUCCAUGCCGUAAACGGUGGGCGCUAGGUGUAGGGGUCUUCCACGACUUCUGUGCCGUAGCUAACGCAUUAAGCGCCCCGCCUGGGGAGUACGGCCGCAAGGCUAAAACUCAAAGGAAUUGACGGGGGCCCGCACAAGCGGCGGAGCAUGUGGAUUAAUUCGAUGCAACGCGAAGAACCUUACCUGGGCUUGACAUAUGCAGGAUCGGCGUAGAGAUACGUUUUCCCUUGUGGUCUGUAUACAGGUGGUGCAUGGUUGUCGUCAGCUCGUGUCGUGAGAUGUUGGGUUAAGUCCCGCAACGAGCGCAACCCUUGUCUUAUGUUGCCAGCACGU
rnacentral:rRNA from 1 species